rnacentral:rRNA from 1 species
GGCCAGACUCCUACGGGAGGCAGCAGUGGGGGAUAUUGCACAAUGGGGGAAACCCUGAUGCAGCGACGCCGCGUGAGUGAAGAAGUAAUUCGUUACGUAAAGCUCUAUCAGCAGGGAAGAAAAUGACGGUACCUGACUAAGAAGCCCCGGCUAACUACGUGCCAGCAGCCGCGGUAAUACGUAGGGGGCAAGCGUUAUCCGGAUUUACUGGGUGUAAAGGGCGUGUAGGCGGGACUGCAAGUCAGAUGUGAAAAUUAUGGGCUCAACCCAUAACCUGCAUUUGAAACUGUAGUUCUUGAGUGAUGGAGAGGCAGGCGGAAUUCCGUGUGUAGCGGUGAAAUGCGUGGAUAUACGGAGGAACACCAGUGGCGAAGGCGGCUUACUGGACUGUAACUGACGUUGAGGCUCGAAAGCGUGGGGAGCAAACAGGAUUAGAUACCCCGGUA